UACGUAGGGUGCGAGCGUUAAUCGGAAUUACUGGGCGUAAAGCGUGCGCAGGCGGUUUUGUAAGCCAGAUGUGAAAUCCCCGGGCUUAACCUGGGAACUGCAUUUGUGACUGCACGGCUAGAGUGUGUCAGAGGGGGGUAGAAUUCCACGUGUAGCAGUGAAAUGCGUAGAUAUGUGGAGGAAUACCGAUGGCGAAGGCAGCCCCCUGGGAUAACACUGACGCUCAUGCACGAAAGCGUGGGGAGCAAACAGG
rnacentral:rRNA from 1 species